CCACGUUUCAGGAGGCACUGCU
rnacentral:miRNA from 1 species